AUCUAAAAUGUAACAAAUCAAUGAGAAUUAGAGAAAGACAGUGCAAGAAUCUUAAAAUCUAGUGAGCAGCAUGUUGUGCACCAUAGGCGCGUUCCGAGAGCCAUAACGUACCGAAGGGCUGGACCCUGGACGAAGGGGGUGGUGAGGGGGAAAGAAACAAGGGAAAGCUCUGAUUGUGGAGAAGCAUGUGUCCGCUGUGGCUCUAUUAAUGAGAAGUAGCGUCACAAGAGUUCAGCUUCAUAAGGAAGUUUAACACUUACCGCUCAACAUCCCGUUCAUUCACGAACAUCACGGUCUGUUCCUCAUCCUUGGUCUGAUGCUGUAUCCUGCAGGCUGGGGAUCUAGGAAGGUGGUUGACUACUGCGGUCAGGAUGCUUCCCCAUAUAAAGUUGGCCUGUGUUCUUUGGGCUGGGCCUUUUACACUGCCAUAGGAGGCACCGUGCUCACGUUCAUCUGUGCUAUGUUUUCAGCCCAGGCUGAGAUUGCCACCUCCAGUGAUAAGUGGGACUCUGGAACUGCCAGUCAGCUGUGAACAAAGCUGACUUCAUUCCAGCCUUUGCCACACAGUCCACCCUCAGCAUCCUGGCACUGACAGAAACAUGGAUACAUCCAGAGAAUACAACAACACCUGCUGCUCUCUAACAACUUCUCUCACACCCCUUGACACACCAGUACGGGUGGGGGAACAGAUCAACUGGCAAACUUUCUUGAGGAGUUGGAUGUCCUGCUGUCCUCCUUCCUGGAGGAUGGUAAGCCACUUGUGAUUUCAACAUACACCAAGACAAGCCCCAGGCCACUGAACUGAAUGCUCUUCUGGCUUCAUUUGACUUGGAAAGACUAAGCACCACAGCAACUCACGUUCGGGGAACCAGCUGGAACUCAUUUUUACACGUAACUGUACCAACUCAAAUAUUCUUGUUCAUAUUCAUGUCUCUGAUCACUACUUUGUUCAAUUCAACAUGACUCUCCCAUCUGUAUUAAAACAGACUCCACCUUUGGUUUCCUUUCGCCGUAACCUCCAUUCUCUUUCACCCUCACGCCUUUCCACUGCUGUCUCUACCUCUCUUCCCACACAAAAUGUAUUUUCCACCCUUGAUAUAAACACUGCCACAGACACACUAAGCUCUACUUUAACAACCUGUCUAGACAACAUCUGUCCUAUCUCCUCAAGACCAGCACGUACUACACCACCCAGCCCCUGGCUCUCUGACGUCCUUCUUAAACAUCGGACUGACCUCAGGGCAGCUGAGAGGAGAUGGUGGAAAUCUAAAGAUCCAGCAGUUCUAGAACAAGCUGCUGGAUUACAAUCAGUCAGGUUUCAAAAGUGGACACUCCACCGAGACUGCCCUGCUGUCUGUCACUGAGUUGCUGAGACAGGUGAAAGCUGAAACCAGAUCAUCCGUCCUGAUUUUACUGGACCUUUCUGCAGCCUUCGAAACUCAACCAUCAGAUCUUACUCUCCACCCUCUCUUCACUGGGCAUCACAGGAACUGUGCUUGACUGGUUUAAUUCCUAUCUCUCAGGUAGGUCCUUCAAAGUAGCCUGGAGAGGUGAGGUGUCCAAGCCACAUCAGCUACUUACUGGGGUACCUCAGGGUUCAGUGGUUGGGCCACUUCUCUUCUCUAUAUACACAACAUCACUGGGACCCAUCAUUCAGGACCAUGGUUUCUCUUACCAUUGCUACGCUGAUGACACGCAACUCUACUUGUCUUUCCAGCCCAACGAAACCACAGUGACUGCUCAAAUCUCUGCCUGCCUGGCAGACAUCUCGGCCUGGAUAAAGGAACACCACCUGCAACUUAACCCAGCCAAGACCGAACUCCUUAUCUUUCCAGCCAACCCUGCUGUUGAACACAACAUCACCGUGCAGCUGGGUGCAACUACAGUAACGCCUUCCAAAACGGUCAGAAAUCUAGGGGUAACCAUCGAUAACAAACGAAAUUUCACAGACCAUAUCUCAAAGACUGCAAGAUCAUGUAGAUUUACACUCUACAAUAUCAGGAAGAUAAGACCCUUCCUCUCUAAACAUGCCACACAACUCUUGUUCAGUCACUUAUCAUAACUAGACUGGACUACUGUAACGCUCUCAUUGCAGGCCUCCCUGCAUGUGCAAUUAGACCCCUGCAAAUGAUCCAGAAUGCAGAAGCACGUCUGGUCUUUAAUCAACCAAAGAGAACACAUGUUACACCACUCUUUGUCUCUCUUCACUGGCUGCCGGUUGAUGCACGUAUCAAGUUCAAGGCUCUGAUGCUGGCAUACAAAACAGUCACUGGGUCUGCUCCAGCAUACCUAAAAUAAUUUCUGCAAAGCUACGUGCCCACUAGAAGCCUCUUUGUGUUGUACCAACACAAAGAGGCACCAAAACAGUUUCCUGGACUUUCGGCUUCAUCAUACCACAUUGGUUGAAUGACAUUCCCAACUCCAUCUGUGAAGCUGACUCACUUUCUGUCUUCAGAAAAUGGCUAAAAACACAUCUUUUCCAUGAGCACUCAACCAGUUAAAAAAAAAAAAAAAAUUCCUUGUUUCACUUUAAUCUGUUUUGAAUGCUAUUCUGAUGCUAGUGAAACUUUGUAAUAUGGCACUUUUCAUACCACUGUCUUCUUAAGAUGAUUCGCUAAUGUUUUCCUCUUUUGUAAGUCACUUUGGAUAAAAGUGUCUGCCAAAUGAAUAAAUGUAAAUAAGAGGCAAAACAGGAAAAUAAUGGAAACAGGAAGUUAUUGAUCUCAGGAAAUGGGACUCGAUUGGUUCUUUCCCUUAUCUCCACUACCAGAACACAUGUUUGAAAAGAGCAUAAAUUGUUUCAAAUGCACACUUUGUAUAUGUAGCAAACUAUGCUUAAAGGUUGUUAAUGGGAAGUUUACAAAAACACAGCAAAUUCAAUGAUAUUAUAAAAGGACCUAGAAAAGUCAUUGAUUCUUGUAAGAUUUAUCAGAUGAGUUGGUGUGGGGAAAGUACACACUGCAGUGAGGGCUGGACUCCUGAUGUUUGUUCUAUAAUGACUGCAUGUGGCAGGUGUGCUGAGGGGAGGGUUCUCAUCCAGUUCUGUGUUAGCGGAUGAAAGCAGAUCUCAGAGUCUCUCUGUCAGUUACUAUCCUUAGGUCCUUCUGGUCCUCCCCUGCUGAUCAGAAAUGCAAGACAGGCCUCUUCAUCUUGUAUGAGCAUGCGAUCAAUUUAUAAUUAGGUCUGUAGUGAUUAAUGAAUUCCCAAUAAAGCACCCUCUGCUCUGAUGAAUGUAUGCAGGCCAUCCCACCUAAACUGCUGUCCAAACAAGCAUGGCUCACUGUUUCAUCUCAUUAGAGCUGAAUGUUCUGGAAAAUGGGGGCUGAGGUCUGAUUAUUUAGGGUCAAGAGUUACUUUUGCUAUCUAUUGGUGGAACGUUUGUGUUUCUGAAGUAAUAAAUUAUGAAUGUUUGUUUGUCCUUUUACAUUAACAAGUUUAUGGUACAUUUUUGGGAUAAAAAAUGGUGGAGACUAUGGCUAGUUGUCAGGCACGGAAGUUUAUGUCAGUAACUAUAAGAUUUUGAUUUAAAAAGUCAAAUUAUAUAAAUGUGUUUUCUCUGGCAGUGGUUUUGUCCGAGUUUCAGACACCAGUCUUAAAUUAAAAUAUUUUGUUAUAAAUUCUAUUCUCCAAACUAAAAUUCACAUUUUGUCAUACAUUAUGGCAAGGGUCAACUACAGUGGCAAGAAAAAGGAUGUGAACCCUUUGGAAUUACAUCCCUUUAUGUAUACAUUUGUCUUAAAAUCUGGUUUGAUCUUCAUCUAAAUUACAACAAUGAACAAACACAAUCUGUUUAAUAACACACAAAUUAUUGUGUUGUUCUUGUACACCCUGAAUACAUCAUUCAAACAUUCACAGUGUAGGUUGUAAAAAGUCUGUGAACCUCUAGGCUAAUGACGUCAACAAAAGCUAAUUAGAGUCAGGAGUUAGCAAACCUGGCAUCCAAUUAAUGAAAUGAGAUUGGAGGUGUGGGUUAGAGCUACUUUGACUUAUAAAAAGCACUCAGACAUUUUGAGUAUGAUAUUCACAAGACGCACCUGCUGACACACGGACCAUGCCUCGCAAGAAAGAGAUCUCAAAAGAACUAUGAUCAAGAAUUGUUGUUUUGCAUAAAGCUGAAAAGGGUUACAAAGUUAUCUCAAAGAGCUUAGAUAUUCAUCUGUCCCAAAUUGUCUAUAAAUAGUGACAAUUUAGUACUGUGGCUACUCUCCCUAGAAGUGGCCACCCAGCCAAAUUACUCAAAGGGCACACCGCAGAAUGCUCAAUGAGGUAAAAAAAAGAACCCUAGAGUGACAGCUAAGGACUUGAAGGAAUCAUUGGAACUGGUUAACAUCUAUGUUCAUGAGUCUACUAUAAAGAAAACAUUAAACAGGCAUGGUGUCCAUGGCAGGUCACCACGAAGGAAGCCCCUGCUUUCCAAAAAAAAAUUAUAAAUUGCUGCAUGCCUGAAGUUUGCCAAAGACCACCUUGACACUCCACAAUGCUACUGUGAAAAUGUUUUAUGGGCUGAUGAAACUAAGGUUGAAUUGCUUGGGAAGAACAUGCAGCACUACGCAUCGUGUAAAAAGGGCACUGCAAACCAACCUGAAAACAUAAUCCCAACAGUGAAGUAUGGUGGAGGGAGCAUCAUGAUUUGGGGCUGCUUUGCUGCCAAAUUGUUAUAUCUUUCACAUGUGUUUUAUUCCACUUAAUAGACAUGAUCUGUGCAUCUCUUAUUAUAUACAAUGAGUAAAUUAGUAAAUAAACUAAAAUGAAACUUAAAAACAUAAAAAUUAACCAUAAGAAACUAUUUGCUUCAAUCAAUGGGGUAUCCUGGCAUAGGCGAUACAGGCAGUCGCACAGAGAGGGGUGCUCCCACUGUUGACACAUGCAUCAUAUUCGGGACAGUUUAGCUCCCCGUUCUGCUUACCCCUCUCAUUUUAAAUUAAUUGUGAUCUUGUGAAUAACUUUUCUGAGCUGCUCGAUGUGCUGCUUUAUUUAGCCAUGCAAUCUCACUCCGACUGCUCUCUGUUUGCAUCACAAAAAUAGGAUAAAUGGUCUGCCCAUGGAAAAAGUGUCUUUAUCUGCUGAAAGACGAAAAUGAUUAUAAUAAGGGAUUAUGAUGGUGCCAUACAGUACAUGUCAAGUUAAUCAAAUCCUAAAAUGAAAUGCACCCAGUGCCUAAUAUACAUCCACUGCUGUACAUCUGAAAUAUUACUUGGCUUAUUGGAGAAUGCUCCUUCGGGAUUUGAACUUCAGACUUUUCUCAUCCAUUGGUGAUAUUCACACAGAGUACCAACAGGCAGUCAUGUGUUAACAGUAAUACUGUUUCGUAUUAUAUACUUUGAAGGCAUUAUAUACAGUCAGAGGAGGCAAGGACGGCUGAGCCUCCUCAAAAAAUGAUUCAAAAUGGCUGUUGCAAGGAAGGAGGUCACAGGAGCAGGAUCUAAACGCAGCUUCUUUAAUAACAAUAAAACAGAACACAAGGUAGGAUAAACGCGGAGCCUCGAGGGGCGAAGCCGUGGAAGGCAGAACUGUGGUAGGCUUGAGACUUAGAGUCCAGGAUGACUGGGAAAUGACCUCAGUGGUCACGAACAUGAGCAGAGUCUCGGGAGCGACCUCUGUGGUUGCGGGCAUAGACAGAUACUCGGGAAUGACCUCUGUGGUCGUGGGCAUAGGCAGAGACUCAGAGACGACAUCUGUGGUCGUGUACAUGGGCAGAGACUCAGAUACGACCUCUGUGGUCGUGAACAUGGGCAGAGACUUGGAAAUGACCUCCGUGGUCGUGUACAUGGGCAGAGACUUGCCGAAGUUGGCAACGCAGGCUCUGGUACGGACGAGGCUGGCAAUGCUGGCUCUGGGACAGAUGAGAUUGACAACGUUGGCUCUGGGAUGGACAAAGCUUCCAGUUCGUUGGCCGUGGCAGGCGUGGGCGUUGGCUCAUUGGCCGUGGCAGGCGUGGGCGUUGGCUCGUUGGUCGUGGCUGGCAGAAGUACUGACAAGCUGUGAGGAAAGGUCUUCAUUACCCUAGGCACCGACUUCAGUGGCGGAUAAUUCAACUUGGAAACAAGGGUUGAGAAGGGCUUCGAACCGGGAGUCACGGAAAGCAAGGCUAAGACAUGGUGUGGAACCGACUCAGACGUGGUUGUAACAUGGCGUGGAACAGACUCAGACUUGACUGGGACAUGGCGUGGAGCAGACUCAAAUUUAACUGUCAUAUGACGUGGAGCCGACUGUGAUGUGGCUAUGACAUGGUGUGGAGCAGGCUCAGGCACGGCUGUGAUGUGGCAUGGAGCAGACUCAGACUUGAAUGUGACAUGGAGCAGGCUGAGGCAUUGCUGUGACAUGGCACGGAGCAGGCUGAGGCAUUGCUGUGACAUGGCAUGGAGCAGACUGAGGCAUGGCUGUGACAUGGCAUGGAGCAGGCUGUGGCAUGGCUGUGACAUGGCAUGGAGCAGGCUGAGGCGUGGCUGUGACAUGGCAUGGAGCAGGCUGAGGCGUGGCUGUGACGUGGCGUGGAGCAGACUCAGGCGUGGCUGUGACAUGGCGUGGAGCAAGCUCAGGCACGGCUGAGAUGUGGCAUGGAGCAGAUUCAGGCGUGGCUGACUCGGAAGCCGGGAUCGGGAUUGAUUGAGGAGGAUCCGCUGAAGUGAAUGUCUCUAAUACCAGCGUAACAUAUUCCUCCCACGUGUAAUCUCCGGUCGCCGGCAACUCCCUCCACUGUGCAUUCUGGGAUCGUCUGCCUGGGGAAGGACACAUACGAUGAUGGCUGCAUCCGAAAACUGGAAAAUGCUGCCUUCCAAGGCUGUAUCCGGAGAUUAUCGCCAAGUUCAAGAGGAUCAUCACCACAGACCUUUUGCAGUCUUUUCUUGAUGAACUUGAUGGCCUGGACCCAAGAUUGCUGGAGGAGUGCAAAGCAGCAGUAGUGUCUGGGAGAAGGCCGGCACUCAAAUGCAUUUUGAAGUUACGUUUUCAUUAGAGGUGUCAAUAUAUUAUAAAUAUAACUGAGAAAAUGUAAUUAAGGAAUAUCAUACUCAAAAUCAGGUUAUCGUUCUAUAUAUCAGUAUGUUCAAGCUUGAAAUCAUGAUUGUGCCUGUAGACUGCAAUGGCAAAAUGUUCAGUGAAAAAGGAGUUACAUUUUGGUCUGUUCUCUCCCAAAACUGAUUGGAUCACUUCAGAAGUAGUUUUAUCUUGGCACCCAUUCACUUACAUAGAGCUGUUCAGCCAUGACGUCAAUUUGUAGGCGAACCCGGAAGUCUAAUUCGCCAUGGGUUUCCUCUGGAUUUUCCUAUGGGUUUUCUUAAUGGGGUUUUUGAACUUAUGAGUAAAAUAAGGUCUGUGGUACACAUUACU